CGCUCUUCGUUAUGAUUAGUGAAGAUGAAGAGUCGGACCUGCCCAGUGACAUACGUGUUAAACGGCCGCGGUACUCUGACCGUGCAAAGGUAGCAUAAUCACUUGCCUUUUAAUUGAAGGCUUGUAUGAAUGGUUUGACGAGAGCUAAGCUGUCUCUUUUUAAAUAUUUAGAAAUUAAUUUAUAGGUGAAGAGGCCUAUAUGAAUUUGAGGGACAAGAAGACCCUGUUGAGUUUAAGUAUAGUUAAAAAUUAAUAUACAUAUCCAUUAGGAUUAUGAAUUGAUUAUAUAUAGUAGAGAUUGAGUUUUUGGUUAAUCUUUAGUUGGGGCGACUAAGGAGCAUAAUAAGCUUCCUUUAAUAUAUAUUAUGUUGACGAAUUAAUUUGAUCCAAUUUUUAUUGAUCAAAGGAAAAAAUUACCACAGGGAUAACAGCGUAAUCUUUUUGGAGAGUUCUUAUCGAAAAAAGGGUUUGCGACCUCGAUGUUGGACUAAGAUAUCCUAAAGGUGUAGAAGCUUUUAAGGGUUGGUCUGUUCGACC
rnacentral:rRNA from 1 species